GAAAAUUCUUGGCUGUGCCAAGUUUUUCCCUACAUCUACAAAAGGUUCUAAUAAUGUAGCUAUUGGUUACAAUGAAGUUAGUGUAAUGCUAAAAGUUGUUUGUGAGGAACCAGCUGUGUCUAUGGAUUCUCUUGGUGGUAAAAUUGUAUGGGCAAAACACAGUGAAAUUCAGCAGGUCAAUUUGAAAGUACUUGGAGAAGAAGCUCAGGAAGGUGAAAAGUUGCCAUUAACUGUCAAAGACAUGGGUGUUUGUGAAAUCUAACCACGAACAAUUCAUCACAAUCCUAAAGGAAGUUUCAUCGUAGUUUUUGAUGAUAGUUUAUGAUUUAUACAUUUAUAGGCUUGAGAAACAACGCUUUUGGACAGGCUUUUAAAGUUGUCUGGGCUGCAGAUUCGAGUUGGUAUGCUGUCAGAGUUUAUCAUGCCGAUAUUAAACAGCCAAUAUCUGAAGGAGGUAAUAGCUUUGUUCAAAGAUUAUAAAAUCAUCAGUACGGUCUUCAGUAAUUGUAUACAAAGUGGAUCACUUUAGGCUAUUGUUUUCUGAAUAUGGACCAAUGAAUUAGAAUCUUUCACAUCUAAUUUUGUGGAAAAUUCAUGCACAUGUAUUGGAUCAUUUACAAAAGCAGCUGCAUAUAGUAGAGUACAAGGGAGAAUGUUAAUUUGCUAUUCUCACAAGAAAAAAUAUGCAAUUUUAGGCCAUACAGAAUUACAAAAUGUAAAAGACCAUUGUCUUUUAUUAUAGUAUUUAUAUGAUAUUUGGUCUGGAUAGUACAGAAGCUUGCAAACUAAUGGAGCUUAUUGUAUUGAGUUUUUAGAGAAAAAUAUUGGAUGGUUGAUUAGAAAAGUUUUUAAUUUCAAAAAUCACUACCUUUUGAUUAAUUGCCCAGGACAGAAAGUAUCUUUCUUCAUUGAUGGUUUGUACGAUAUUCAUGGAUAAUUUGAUAACGGAGUCAGAUGAGAAAUAUAAAUUAUUAAUCUGCUUCGAUGAAACUAAAAAAUAUCUUCAUUUUAAAGAAGUUGUUGAUAUAUUUUGAAAAGAUUUAAAGUAGAACUACCAGAAGAUUGGAAUGUUAUAGCUGAUGUAAGACUUCAAUGCUUUAAAUAAGUGAUGCAUCCACAGGCUGGGCUUACAAUGACAUGAUUAUCAAUGGUGUUGUAUCCGAAUGAUUAAAACUGAUUUAUAUAACUUCUUAUAUUUAGGGUAUACUGUAUUUCUUUAAUAUUUUUGAAUUGUAUAAUAUCAAUCAAGAUAUAUAUUUUAAUUAUCAAAGCUGCUUAUAUAAUUCUGCUAUUAAUAUAGCAGAAUUAAUUGUUGUUAGUUAAUUUUUACU